rnacentral:rRNA from 1 species
CCUACGGGAGGCAGCAGUGAGGAAUAUUGGUCAAUGGGCGAGAGCCUGAACCAGCCAAGUCGCGUGAGGGAGUACUGCCCUAUGGGUUGUAAACCUCUUUUGUCGGGGAGCAAAAGCCGGACGUGUCCGGCUGUGAGAGUACCCGAAGAAAAAGCAUCGGCUAACUCCGUGCCAGCAGCCGCGGUAAUACGGAGGAUGCGAGCGUUAUCCGGAUUUAUUGGGUUUAAAGGGUGCGCAGGCGGAUUUUUAAGUCAGCGGUAAAAUCGUGGGGCUCAACCCCCUCCAGCCGUUGAAACUGGGGAUCUAGAGUGUGCGAGAGGUAUGCGGAAUGCGUGGUGCAGCGGUGAAAUGCAUAGAUAUCACGCAGAACCCCGAUUGCGAAGGCAGCAUACCGGUGCACAACUGACGCUCAGGCACGAAAGCGUGGGUAUCGAACAGGAUUAGAUACCCCAGUAGUC